CACCUGGACCCCCAAAUUCUCUCCAGGGAGCACCUGAAGUCCCUAAAUCCUCUCUAGAGAGCACCUGAACCCCCAAAUCCUCUGCAGGGAGCACCCAAAUCCUCUGCAGGGAGCCCCUGCAGUCCCAGCCAGCGCUCUCUGGCUCUCCACAGCCCAGAUGUUCCAGCUGUGCCCUGCCAGCUCCCUGCUGCCACCGUGGCCCCGAGGUUUUUACAUUUCCUGUGGGGAAAGGGCCCAGCAGCCUCAGUCUGGGUUUAUUUCUUUUCUCUGUAGUUCUAUUUUUUAGGAAACCACUUUUGCAAAUCAGCCACCUGGGGAGGGAGGGAGGGAGGGAGGAGAAAUUCCUGCUUUUCCCCCCAUCCUGGGCCCUGCCAGGAGCAUCCCAAGGUGACCCCGAGUCCUUCCCACUGCUCCUCCAGAGGCAAAACUGCAGGAAAAGCCUGGGAGAGUGGAACAGAGCAGGUGAAAACCUUGGGGCAGGUGAAUUUGGGAAGUGGGACAUCCCUCAGGGCACGGCCUGGGCUUGGCAUCGCUCCUGGCCUCCGAGGGCUGCGGAUAAUUGGAAUUAAAUGGAGCAAAUCCCAGGUG